UACGUAGGGGCCUAGCGUUGUCCGGAUUUAUUGGGCGUAAAGAGCUCGUAGGCGGUUCGGUAAGUCAGGUGUGAAAUCUCCACGCUCAACGUGGAGGCGCCACCUGAAACUGCCGUGACUCGAGUCCGGUAGGGGAGUGUGGAAUUCCUGGUGUAGAGGUGAAAGUGCGCAGAGAUCAGGAGGAACACCCAGUGGCGAAGGCGGUGCUCUGGGCCGGAACUGACGCUGAGACGCGAAGCGUGG
rnacentral:rRNA from 1 species